rnacentral:rRNA from 1 species
AGAGUUUGAUCCUGGCUCAGGACGAACGCUGGCGGCGUGCCUAAUACAUGCAAGUCGAGCGGACAGAUGGGAGCUUGCUCCCUGAUGUUAGCGGCGGACGGGUGAGUAACACGUGGGUAACCUGCCUGUAAGACUGGGAUAACUCCGGGAAACCGGGGCUAAUACCGGAUGGUUGUUUGAACCGCAUGGUUCAAACAUAAAAGGUGGCUUCGGCUACCACUUACAGAUGGACCCGCGGCGCAUUAGCUAGUUGGUGAGGUAACGGCUCACCAAGGCGACGAUGCGUAGCCGACCUGAGAGGGUGAUCGGCCACACUGGGACUGAGACACGGCCCAGACUCCUACGGGAGGCAGCAGUAGGGAAUCUUCCGCAAUGGACGAAAGUCUGACGGAGCAACGCCGCGUGAGUGAUGAAGGUUUUCGGAUCGUAAAGCUCUGUUGUUAGGGAAGAACAAGUGCCGUUCGAAUAGGGCGGUACCUUGACGGUACCUAACCAGAAAGCCACGGCUAACUACGUGCCAGCAGCCGCGGUAAUACGUAGGUGGCAAGCGUUGUCCGGAAUUAUUGGGCGUAAAGGGCUCGCAGGCGGCUUCUUAAGUCUGAUGUGAAAGCCCCCGGCUCAACCGGGGAGGGUCAUUGGAAACUGGGGAACUUGAGUGCAGAAGAGGAGAGUGGAAUUCCACGUGUAGCGGUGAAAUGCGUAGAGAUGUGGAGGAACACCAGAGGCGAAGGCGACUCUCUGGUCUGUAACUGACGCUGAGGAGCGAAAGCGUGGGGAGCGAACAGGAUUAGAUACCCUGGUAGUCCACGCCGUAAACGAUGAGUGCUAAGUGUUAGGGGGUUUCCGCCCCUUAGUGCUGCAGCUAACGCAUUAAGCACUCCGCCUGGGGAGUACGGUCGCAAGACUGAAACUCAAAGGAAUUGACGGGGGCCUGCACAGGCGGUGGAGCAUGUGGUUUAAUUCGAAGCAACGCGAAGAACCUUACCAGGUCUUGACAUCCUCUGACAAUCCUAGAGAUAGGACGUCCCCUUCGGGGGCAGAGUGACAGGUGGUGCAUGGUUGUCGUCAGCUCGUGUCGUGAGAUGUUGGGUUAAGUCCCGCAACGAGCGCAACCCUUGAUCUUAGUUGCCAGCAUUCAGUUGGGCACUCUAAGGUGACUGCCGGUGACAAACCGGAGGAAGGUGGGGAUGACGUCAAAUCAUCAUGCCCCUCAUGACCUGGGCUACACACGUGCUACAAUGGACAGAACAAAGGGCAGCGAAACCGCGAGGUUAAGCCAAUCCCACAAAUCUGUUCUCAGUUCGGAUCGCAGUCUGCAACUCGACUGCGUGAAGCUGGAAUCGCUAGUAAUCGCGGAUCAGCAUGCCGCGGUGAAUACGUUCCCGGCCA